AUUGAACGCUGGCGGCAGGCCUAACACAUGCAAGUCGAGCGGAUGAAGGGAGCUCGCUCCUGGAUUCAGCGGCGGACGGGUGAGUAAUGCCUAGGAAUCUGCCUGGUAGUGGGGGAUAACGUCCGGAAACGGGCGCUAAUACCGCAUACGUCCUGAGGGAGAAAGUGGGGGAUCUUCGGACCUCACGCUAUCAGAUGAGCCUAGGUCGGAUUAGCCAGUUGGUGGGGUAAAGGCCUACCAAGGCGACGAUCCGUAACUGGUCUGAGAGGAUGAUCAGUCACACUGGAACUGAGACACGGUCCAGACUCCUACGGGAGGCAGCAGUGGGGAAUAUUGGACAAUAGGCGAAAGCCUGAUCCAGCCAUGCCGCGUGUGUGAAGAAGGUCUUCGGAUUGUAAAGCACUUUAAGUUGGGAGGAAGGGCAGUAAGUUAAUACCUUGCUGUUUUGACGUUACCAACAGAAUAAGCACCGGCUAACUUCGUG
rnacentral:rRNA from 1 species